AGAGUUUGAUCCUGGCUCAGGACGAACGCUGGCGGCGUGCUUAACACAUGCAAGUCGAACGGAGGUUAUUUUGAAACUUAGUGAUAAAUAACCUUAGUGGCGGACGGGUGAGUAACGCGUGGAUAACCUGCCUACAUGACCUGGACAACACCGGGAAACUGGUGCUAAUACCGGAUACGCUCUUAGGAGUACAUGCUUUUGAGAGGAAAGGAGCAAUCCGCAGGUAGAUGGGUCCGCGUCCCAUUAGCUAGUUGGGGGUGUAAGAGACCACCAAGGCGACGAUGGGUAGCCGGCCUGAGAGGGUGGACGGCCACACUGGAACUGAGACACGGUCCAGACUCCUACGGGAGGCAGCAGUGGGGAAUCUUCCGCAAUGGGCGAAAGCCUGACGGAGCAACGCCGCGUGAGUGAAGAAGGCUUUCGGGUCGUAAAACUCUGUCUUCAGGGAAGAAAAAAAUGACGGUACCUGAGGAGGAAGCCCCGGCUAACUACGUGCCAGCAGCCGCGGUAAAACGUAGGGGGCGAGCGUUGUCCGGAAUUACUGGGCGUAAAGGGCGCGUAGGCGGUCAUUUAAGUCAGAGGUGAAAACUACCGGCUCAACCGGUAGCCUGCCUUUGAAACUGGAUGACUUGAGGGCAGGAGAGGGGAGUGGAAUUCCCAGUGUAGCGGUGAAAUGCGUAGAUAUUGGGAGGAACACCAGAGGCGAAGGCGGCUCUCUGGCCUGUUUCUGACGCUGAGGCGCGAAAGCGUGGGGAGCGAACGGGAUUAGAUACCCCGGUAGUCCACGCCGUAAACGAUGGGUGCUAGGUGUAGGAGGUAUCGACCCCUUCUGUGCCGUAGCUAACGCAAUAAGCACCCCGCCUGGGGAGUACGGCCGCAAGGUUGAAACUUAAAGGAAUUGACGG
rnacentral:rRNA from 1 species